rnacentral:lncRNA from 1 species
CUCCCCAUGGCUCCGGAGGAGGACUUGCUCUNUUCAAAAGAAAACAUCACUCCAUGGGAUGACAUCUUGAGUUCUUUCUAUCUCACAACAGUUUCUGGAGCCACUGUCCAUUUCCGAGGGUCCCUAGCAACUGCUACACCGUAAUUCCAGCCAUGAAAACAGGAUGUGGCCAAGUAGCCUGUUGCUCUUGACUACUUAUGUUAUAAGCUAAUUAGAAUCCUAUUGUUUAGCAUAGUGAUUUCUGUAAGACUACCUGAUUUGCUCUUAUUUUAUUUUCUUCUGUCGUCAUUUGUGAGCUUGAGACAACAUCCAUGGAUUGUUUGCUUAUUUUGAAGAAAUGGCUCAAGCAGCCAAUUAGAAGACCAUUGUUCUAAAUGCUGGCUUGCCUCAUGUUGUG